rnacentral:lncRNA from 1 species
GGAUUGUUUCAGUUAAUAAUGAAGAAAAUUUUUCUAAGUAUUCUCUUCCUAAAUAUGAUCAUUAUUCGUCGUUGAUGACUGUUGCUAAUUUAGUCGAAUAGCAAUCAAUUAUCCUUUGAUCGACCAAAGUUGGGUCGGCAUAUCUUCCGUCCGAUUGUAAUUGAGUCGGCAUAUUAUCCCAUCUGAUCAUAGUCGAGUUAGCAUAUUGUUCCAUCCAACCAUAGUCGAGUCGGCAUAUUAUUUUGUCUAAUUAUAGUUGAGUCAGCAUAUUGAGUUGAUCGAUCGAAGUCAGCAUGUAGAUUCGACCGACCAAAGUCGGUAUGUAGAGUCAUUCAAUCAGAGUCAGUAUGUAGAAUCGACUGAUCGGAGUCGGCAUGUAAAUCAUUUUGGAACUCAUCUUGAUUUGGAG